rnacentral:lncRNA from 1 species
GUUGUAGCAGCGUGAUGGUUUUGCUCGGGGGACAGACGGACACUGCAAGCUGGUUUUUUUUUCCGACAAAAGCUAUUAUUUAUUUAUUUAUUUAUUUAUUUAUUUCUGCUAGCGAUUCCCGCCCAAGAGGCCAAGACCCAACCCAAAUACCCAAUACGAGCCAUGUUCCACACACACACAUACACUUUUGAGGGGCAGGCUGAUUGACAUGAGAGCAAGGUUUGUAAUAAAGCCAAGUACUUGGGCCUUGUUUAGAUGUGAAAAAUUUUUGGAUUUCACUACCGUACCACUUUCGUUUGUUUGUGGUAAAUAUUGUCCAAUCAUAGACUAAUAACUAGGAUCAAAAGAUUCGUCUCGUGAUUUAUAGUCAAACUGGGUGAUUAGUUUUUAUUUUCGUCU